GAUACCCAGGAAUCUUUGAGGCUGUGUUAGUUGUGCAUGAAUUGGUGCCAGUGCCCAGUGAAUAACCAUGCACUCCAGCCUGGGCAACAUAGUGAAACCCCAUUAAAUAAAUAAAUUAAUACAUAAAUAAGUUACAGAGAUCACUGUUUAUACUUCUAUUAUUAGGGCUCAAAACCUCUAGAUAGAGUUUUUGUUUGUUUGUUUGUUUGUUUUGCGUUGGAGUCUCACUCUGUACCCAGGCUAGAGUGUAGUGGUGCGAUCUCAGCUCACUGAAACCUCCACCUCCCAGGUUGAUGCCAUUCUCCUGCCUCAGCCUCCCGAGUAGCUGGGACUACAGGUGCCUGCCACCACGCCUGGCUAAUUUUUAUGGUUUUGGUAGAAACGGGGUUUCACCGUGUUAGCCAGGAUGGUCUCGAUCUCCUGACCUCAUGGUCCACCCGCCUCGGCCUCCCAAACUGCUGGGAUUACAGGCGUGAUGAGCCACUGCACCAGGCCUGAGAUUUUUCUUUAUCUUUGGAGAACUACGACUCCAGGGCAAACUUUCAAGUAAUGCUUUGCCAUUUUUACUUUCCCUCUCAAGGAUUCCUGGGACUAUACUUUGUAAAAUUAUCACACAGCAUGUAUUUUAUUUUUACUUCUGUUUCCUGUUAAGGCCUCUCUGGAUGGUGGCUAUAACCUAUAGCCUUGCCCAGUACGACUCAGGGUUUGGUACUGAAUGUGCCUUUCAUGGAAUGCUUGCUUAUCCUGAUCGAUGGCCUAAAGCCGAACUGUCCAGCUUACAUCCGGGGAUAAGCUUCAGCAUGCAGGGCCUCCGGAAGAAGGUCGUAGCCAUUUCAUUGAGUCCAGGGCAGAAAAGGGGAAUAAAAAUGUGAAUGUAUUAGUUUGAGAACUUUACCUCUGAGAGAUUUCAGGAUUCAUUCCAAAGUGCAGAAAAUAAUAAAAAGCUCAAAAACAAUAUACAAGACUAGAAUCUAACAACAGGUGUGCUGUAGUAUUUUUCUGAAAUAUAAUGUUUUGCUCUCUAAUUUUCAUUUUUAUUUAAGACAUAUCAUAGUAGGAC
rnacentral:lncRNA from 1 species